CCUACGGGAGGCAGCAGUGAGGAAUAUUGGUCAAUGGACGGAAGUCUGAACCAGCCAUGCCGCGUGCAGGAAGACGGCUCUAUGAGUUGUAAACUGCUUUUGUACAAGGGUAAACCUGAAUACGUGUAUUCAGCUGAAAGUACUGUACGAAUAAGGAUCGGCUAACUCCGUGCCAGCAGCCGCGGUAAUACGGAGGAUCCAAGCGUUAUCCGGAUUUAUUGGGUUUAAAGGGUGCGUAGUCGGAUAGAUAAGUUAGAGGUGAAAUGUCCGAGCUUAACUCGGGAACUGCCUCUAAUACUGUUGGUAGAGAGUGGAGGUGAGGUAGGCGGAAUGUGUGGGGUAGCGGGGAAAUGCUUAGAUAUCAUACAGAACACCGAUUGCGAAGGCAGUUUACCAGUCUAUAACUGACGUUGAGGCACGAAAGCGUGGGGAGCAAACAGGAUUAGAUACCCUAGUAGUC
rnacentral:rRNA from 1 species